AGCCCGAGACAGGAAUCCACUUGCUGUGCUCUCAGGACCUGUGGAGUCACCCUCAGCUCCCAGCCACCCAUCUGCGUACUGACAGUCUGUCUGUUACCAUCUUCACAAAGGGCUGCUCGAGAACCACAUGAAUCUAAGAAAAGGCAAUACAAUGGCUGAAGGGACAAGAUAACACUGCAGACAAACUGCGAGGACACUGCUGCAUUCCAGUAUCUGUCAAUGGACUGAGCUGCUCACCACCCCUACGGGGCCACCAAUUGGGGCUGAUUUCUCUCAGGUUCCUAGAAUAAUAGUGAUAAUGAGAUUGAGAAGGAGGAGGAUGAAAA